rnacentral:rRNA from 1 species
GAUGAACGCUGGCGGCGUGCCUAAUACAUGCAAGUCGAGCGAACGGACGAGAAGCUUGCUUCUCUGAUGUUAGCGGCGGACGGGUGAGUAACACGUGGAUAACCUACCUAUAAGACUGGGAUAACUUCGGGAAACCGGAGCUAAUACCGGAUAAUAUUUUGAACCGCAUGGUUCAAAAGUGAAAGACGGUCUUGCUGUCACUUAUAGAUGGAUCCGCGCUGCAUUAGCUAGUUGGUAAGGUAACGGCUUACCAAGGCAACGAUGCAUAGCCGAGCUGAGAGGGUGAUCGGCCACACUGGAACUGAGACACGGUCCAGACUCCUGCGGGAGGCAGCAGUAGGGAAUCGUCCGCAAUGGGCGAAAGCCUGACGGAGCAACGGCGCGUGAGUGAUGAAGGUCUUCGGAUCGUAAAACUCUGUUAUUAGGGAAGAACAGAUGUGUAAGUAACUGUGCACAUCUUGACGGUACCUAAUCAGAAAGCCACGGCUAACUACGUG